CAGUAGCCACGGGAAUACAGAGGGUGCAAGCGUUAAUCGGAAUUACUGGGCGUAAAGCGCGCGUAGGUGGUUCGCCAAGUUGGAUGUGAAAUCCCCGGGCUCAACCUGGGAACUGCAUCCAAAACUGGCGAGCUAGAGUAUGGUAGAGGGUGGUGGAAUUUCCUGUGUAGCGGUGAAAUGCGUAGAUAUAGGAAGGAACAUCAGUGGCGAAGGCGACCACCUGGACUGAUACUGACACUGAGGUGCGAAAGCGUGGGGAGUAAACAGGAUUAGAUACCCCCGUAGUCCCUGUCUCUUAUAA
rnacentral:rRNA from 1 species